ACUAAGUAACGAAUAGUUGUCUGACUUGCAAAUUGUUGGUUUCAAGGUCAACAUCUGAACUUUCUUUAUUGCUUCCUUUAAAAUUAAGAAGUUUCUGGAUUAAUGGUAGUUAUCACUCCCAAAUUCAGAUUCUGCAUAUCAGCCUAGCUGUCCCUAAUGUAGUAGUCUAAUUAGAAGGAAAAUUGCUGGAAUAACCCUGCAGGUUUAUCUCACUUGUUUCUGGUUUCCCUUUUGAACCUUUCAGGUACGACAGUGCCAGCCCACAGGGCCAUCCUGGUGGCCCGUUGUGAAGUGAUGGCAGCCAUGUUUAAUGGUAAUUACAUGGAAGCAAAGAGUGUCCUGAUUCCCGUUUAUGGUGUUUCCAAAGAGACUUUCUUGUCGUUUCUAGAAUACCUGUACACAGACUCCUGCUGCCCAGCUGGCAUAUUCCAGGCCAUGUGUCUCCUGAUCUGUGCCGAGAUGUACCAAGUGUCCAGACUGCAGCACAUCUG
rnacentral:sRNA from 1 species